AUUGAACGCUGGCGGCAUGCUUUACACAUGCAAGUCGAACGGUAACAGGCCGCAAGGUGCUGACGAGUGGCGAACGGGUGAGUAAUGCAUCGGAACGUGCCCAGUCGUGGGGGAUAACGCAGCGAAAGCUGUGCUAAUACCGCAUACGAUCUGUGGAUGAAAGCGGGGGACCGAAAGGCCUCGCGCGAUUGGAGCGGCCGAUGUCAGACUAGGUAGUUGGUGGGGUAAAGGCUCACCAAGCCAACGAUCUGUAGCUGGUCUGAGAGGACGACCAGCCACACUGGGACUGAGACACGGCCCAGACUCCUACGGGAGGCAGCAGUGGGGAAUUUUGGACAAAGGGCGCAAGCCUGAUCCAGCAAUGCCGCGUGCAGGAAGAAGGCCUUCGGGUUGUAAACUGCUUUUGUACGGAGCGAAAAGGCUCUCUCUAAUACAGGGGGCUCAUGACGGUACCGUAAGAAUAAGCACCGGCUAACUACGUGCCAGCCGCCGCCGUAAAAC
rnacentral:rRNA from 1 species